UUAGCUCAUAUUUGUAUGGAAUGGGAUCGUUUGCGUACGUUUGCCGCUAGGGGCGCUGUUCCAACUGCUUACAAAACUGGGUUA
rnacentral:pre_miRNA from 1 species